rnacentral:rRNA from 1 species
AUGUGCUGUCCUGUGCUAGAUGUUGCUUUUGAAUCGUACCAAAUUGGACACCAUGCUACACGAGCAGUACCCGUAGCAAAUACUGAUGACUUCAUAUACCGAAACCUACCUACAAAGCAACAUGUCCUAAGAAAGGUUGUGGACUGUCGCCACUGUGGGGCGUUGCGGUUUCCAUUCGAGGGGCCAGCAUUUUAUUGCAGAAAAGGAAAAGUCGAUUUGUUUACUCCAGAUGUUCCAGAAGAGUUGAAACGGUUGUUUACAAGUCAAGAUGAUGAGGACGCUAAGUAUUUCAGAGAACAUAUACGGUAUUUCAACUCGCACUUCUCAUUCACAAGUCUAGGCGUCACUCUAGAUCGACGAGUAAGCACUGCGGCAGGAACUGGCAUAUAUACAUUCCGUGCGUGUGGUGGGCUGUACCACGCUCUUGACAAUCUAGUGCCGGCUGAUAAUGGCCCUGGGCAUUUGCAACUCUAUAUUUAUGAUACAGAUCAAAACUUGGUUCACAGGGCUAAUAGGUCUCCAGAUCUUAAUAUAGACCUCAUACGGCAGAUUCUGAGAAUACUACAGCGUAACCCUUAUGCGCAAGUUUUUAAGAGCCUUGGGUCUGUUCCGAAUCUACAUGAGUAUAGAAUCUCGAUAAACACGGAUAUCAAGUUGGAUCAACGAAGGUACAAUGCCCCAACAAGUUCCCAAGUGGCAGCCAUAUGGGUUGAAGGGAGUGACCCACAUAACUGCUUUGACAGGAGUGUUGUUGGUCUUGUUGACACCGUCGUUGUCGGCGAGUCACGUGGAGAUCGAAUUGGCAAAAGAAUUGUGCUUACACGUACAUUUCCUGGUGGUGAUCGCGACAUGCAGCGGAGGUUCUUGGAUGCUAUGGCAAUAGUGUAG